GAGCAGCCCCCAGGAGGAUCCUGUUAUGUGUUCAAUACCUGAUGUAUUACUUCAGCAGCAAAUUCAACAAGGCCAAGAUGUCUUCAUUUUCCUCCAGAGCAAGAGCUGUAUGAGCAGUGUGAUGGAAGUAUUGGUCUUCUGUGGCCAGCCGGCGAGAACCCAUCAACAGCUGUGAUGAGCAGAGCAGACACGGAGAGACAGGAGGCAGCUGAAGCCAAAGAGGACCCACGCCUGAAGCUGUGUGUGUGUGAUUGGAGCAGAGAGAGGCCAGGACCCAAGGAAAUCCCAGCAGCAAGGGAAAAAAACAGAUUGACUCUCAGUGACUCAUUUAGCUCCUGGAUUGGACAGAUCUCUCCCCUGCUGGCAAUUUGGCUGAGCAUCAAUGGACAGAUACCAGGAUGAAUAGCUUAAAAUAAUUAGGGGUUGGGAAUAUGCAAAACUGCUAGCCAUCCAAUUCUUUACUCUGCAAUGUGAGGCACAAAAAAGAAAUUACAUUUAGGUU
rnacentral:lncRNA from 1 species